GGAGGCGUGCCAGAGCGGUUGAAUGGGAUGGUCUCGAACACCAUUAUGGCCGCAAGGUCAUCGAAGGUUCGAAUCCUUCCGCCUCCG
rnacentral:tRNA from 1 species